AUCCCUAUUUCCGGCUUGCCAUGGCAGCGCUCGGGGUUUAACGGAAGUAAGCAAUGGAAAGUAUGGUGGUGCCUCGGGUCCAAAGAGAAUGCGCCGCUGAGUUGCGCGGCACCUGACGGGAUUGAGCCUCAGACACAAGCGCUCCAAAUCUCCGACUGUAGCUGGUGGGAAGCGCCUGCUGUUGCUGCAGCGUCUCAACAUGUUGUUCCCAUUUUCGUUGGGUGCUGUAGCGAUCUUUCAAGACUCUAGUCAAAAUGAGCAGAACAUUUUGCAGUUAAUCAUAGAGUUGAAGAUGAACGAGAAGAUGAACGAGAGCUACUUGAUUGUGAACUAGUAACGACCACUUGGAGUCGCAGUGUGUCUGUAAAAUGAUGAUGACAGUGACAUCAUAGAGGACAUAGUGCAAGUGAACAGUUUGAUACUGAGCUUGGAGCCUCAGUAGUUCUGGAUAAGUGAGAGCUGUACGGGAGGUUGUAACCAUGAGCUACCCUGGUUGGCAGUUGACAUCCGAGGACCAGCACUGGUCAUCGCACAGAAAGAAAACUUUACACCUUGAGAUCCCUCCAUUCUUCUUAAACUUCCAAGUGUAUGUUUGAUGGGAGAAGAGGGGAAGGGAUCAACAUUUAAAGGCUCUGGAAGGAGUCAGAUAACUGUUUUUGGCUUCAAAUGUAGAAUGAAUCCCUAGAUUUUCCUCUACUGAGAGAAUGAAAUCUUAACCCAUUCCGUUCCCUUGUUGGUACUCAGAAACGGAUACCCCAAAGAUGCAUUUUGACAUGCUGAAAGGCCUUAGAAGCUGCCUUAGAAGAUCUGUCUAACCUUGUCUUGUUGGUGUGUGGAAGUGGGAAUGCCCACAGGUGCACAGGGAGGGAGUUUCUGAAAUUAUCUGACCGAGAAAGCAAAAAAAAAAAAUCAAUUGUCUUAAACCCGGUUUCUAGGGAUCUCAUUAAAGAACUAGGAAAAAUUAACCACCUGUUAACAGAAAAACCAAACUGAAAUGUUUUAAAGAGAUUUAUUUUGAGCCAAUAUGAGUGACCAUGGCCUGGGGAACACAGGCUCAAGAGGUCCUGAGAAAGUGUGCCUGAGACAGUAGAAUUACAGUUUGGUUUUGUACAUUUUAGGUGGACAGGAGUUACAGACAAAGACAUAAAUCAGUACAUGGAAGGUACAGAUUGUGUUCAGCUGGGUGCAGUGGCUCACGCCUGUAAUCCCAGCACUUUGGGAGGUCGAGGUGGGCGAAUCGCUUGAGGUCAGGAGUUCGAGACCAGCCUGGCUAACAUGGUGAAACCGUGUCUCUACAAAAAAUACAAAAAAUUAGCCAGGGAUGGUGGCAGGCACCUGUAGUCCUGGAGCUACUCAGGAGGUUGAGGCACGAGAAUUGCUGCGGAGGUUGUAGUGAGCCGAGACCACACCACUGCACUCCAGCCUGGGUGACAGAGCAUGACUCUGUCUCAAAAAAAAAAAAAAAAUUCUACGGUAUUUUUAUAAUACAUUUUGUAGUACCACUUAUAACCACUUGGGUGCGUGGGUUGCCCAUUAAAUCAAACAGUUUACAGUUCACCCUUGAACAACAUGGAUUUAAACUGUACUGGUCCACUUAUACUCAGAUUUUCUUCUGCCGCUGUCACUCUGAGACAGCAAGACCAACCCCCCUUCCUCUCCUCAGCCUACUCAAUGUGAAAAGGACAAGGAUGAAGGCCUUUAUGAUGAUCCACUUCCACUUAAUGAAUAGUAUAUUUUAUCUUCCUUACGAUUUCCUUAAUAACAGUUUCUUCUCUCUACUUUACUAUUGCAAGAAUACAGUAUAUAAUGCAUAUAACAUACAAAAUAUGUGUUCAUCUAUGUCAUCAGUAAGACUUCAGAUCGACAGUAGGCUAUUAAUAGUUAAGUUUUGGGGGAGUCAAAAGUUAUAUGUGGAUUUUCUACUGCAUUGUUUAAGGGUCAACUGUAGAUUCAACGACUACCUAGGAUUGUAGAGUUGACUGAUAGCACUGGGACUGAUGAUAACAUCAUAACCUGUAAGAAGUGUCAACAAUGGUGAUGGACCCCCAGCAACCCUGGAGUGGGGAUGUCUAAAGAUAGAUGUCAUCCACCAGGCAGGAGUUGGUGCUGCCAGUGUGUCAUGUACUGCAGCCUCUUUUAUUUAUUU
rnacentral:lncRNA from 1 species